rnacentral:piRNA from 1 species
AGCACGUUUGUCUCCCAGAACAC